ACAGCAGAACAACUUCAUUAUUUUCGGUGAUCUGCUGCAUCGUUGUGAAGAGCUGGUUCUGAAGAAACCUCAAGCACACGUUGACAUUAAUAAGUGAAAACAGGAAGUCAGAUCUUGCCUGAUGGACUCACAUCUUCUAAAUCCUAACCAUUUCCGGCAUCAUAGCUGUGAUGUUGACUUUAACCCAUCUGUGUUGAAAAGUUACACCUGGCCUGGCUCUGUGUCUACCUGUGACACCUUUCUGGAGAGGGGGAUCGUCCGAGCUUCUGCUGCGCAAUUCAACAUCCAGCCGUUAGAGGGCGCCUGUUGCGUUGGUGGCAUAAAGGAGGCUUAUAGGCAGAAGAUUAAAACUUCUAGUUGAAAUGCUGAAAGAAGCUCAACGUUUGCCUCAUCUGUCCUGUGCCACAGUUUUCCCGGGUGUGUCCAGAUGGAAAGAUUACUGUCCGUCCUCCUGCUGAGGCUCCUUCGUGUUGGCCUCCCAUUUGGGUAUGAGCAGCUCCACGUCGCUGCAUCUGAGGACUGAAGGACUCAAAGUUCAGAGUUUU